CUCCGUUGGUGAACCAGCGGAGGGAUCAUUACAGAGUUAUCUAACUCCCAAACCCAUGUGAACUUACCACUGUUGCCUCGGCAGAAAAUUGUUGGGCGAACCUACCCGGGAGCGGGCUACCCUGUAGCUACCCUGGAGCGGCUUACCCUACAACGGCCUGCCGGUGGACUACUAAACUCUUGUUAUUUUUAAGUAAUCUGAGCGUCUUAUUUUAAUAAGUCAAAACUUUCAACAACGGAUCUCUUGGUUCUGGCAUCGAUGAAGAACGCAGCGAAAUGCGAUAAGUAAUGUGAAUUGCAGAAUUCAGUGAAUCAUCGAAUCUUUGAACGCACAUUGCGCCCAUUAGUAUUCUAGUGGGCAUGCCUGUUCGAGCGUCAUUUCAACCCUUAAGCCUAGCUUAGUAUUGGGAGCUUGCUUUACUGCAACUCCUCAAAUCCAACGGCGGAUUUAUAGCAAUCUCUGAACGUAGUAAUUUUUAUCUCGUUUUUGAAAUACUAUACACCUCAGCCGCUAAACCCCCCAAUUUUUCUAUGGUUGACCUCGGAUCAGGUAGGAAUACCCGCUGAACUUAAGCAUAUCAAUAAG
rnacentral:rRNA from 1 species